rnacentral:lncRNA from 1 species
UGAGUUUGCUGUUUUGUGUCCAUUGACAAACCGAGUUUCUCGUUUUCUUUCCAUUUUGCUGAGUUGCUUUUUGUUUAGAUUAGUUUGAGUCUAGUGUUAGUACUGUGUUGCUGAGUUCUUGCACGCUGAGUUUAGUUCUUUUGUUUGCAGUCCGAGCUUGAGUCGUAGUGGAGUCGUUUUGUUUUCUUUUAUGUCUUUCAGUUGAAUUUCUUGGCAAUGAAUUCACAAAUUCACAAAGUUG